UUCAUUUGCUCUCUCAGUGACUUCUCUAAAUAACAUCCCUCUUUCCUUCUUCUCUUCCUCUCUACAGCAUUAAAACAAAAGUCUUCAUCAUCUCAACGUUUACUCUUGCAAAAUCUCAAGAAAGCCAGUGUUCCUUAGAGGACAUAAGCCAAACGUGAAGCAAUAGAGGCUGGACAGAAAAAUGCUGUACACAGGAAUCAUCCUCUCUUUCUGCCUCCUCCAGCACAGCAGACACUGGGAGGAGGCUCUCCUCAUCAGACCUCUGCUCCUUCCCUGUUCCUAAGGCAAGACCACUGAAAGGCACCAGAGCUAUCUAACACAGAGGUAUAACUCUAAGACAAACAAAUCAACACUAACAUUGUUAUGAAACAGUAUGAAACAUACUCCAGCAGUUUAUGCAUUACAGCUGGCUGAACAGGAAAAAAGCAUCUGAAGAUAUGUCAGCAAACCCCUCCCUUUUGCUGUGACUCAGUCCCAUGGCCUGUCCACUCUUCCCAGUCAUCUUCCAUCAUCUCCUGGUUUGCCAGCUUCUCAUUUCAACUGUUUAACCCAGGGCAGCAGGCACAUGGGCGUUUGUUACAGAUUUGGUUUGAAAGUACUUAGCACCCAUUCAAAAUCCACUUCAUGUGCUUCCACGAAGUAACUACUCACAGUUCAUCUCCUCAUGAAAAGCAGACAGCAAAGGAAACAUACAGGAAUCUGUAAUCCGUAACUUUCUGGGGAAAAUAAAGUUAUAUAUAUGCCUGAGCAUGAAACAGAUAAGAGAAAAAAAAUAGGAGUAAUGAAGAGAAAACUUAUAGUCCUGUAAGUUCAGAGUUUCUGAGAGCUUCACAGUGAAUGACAUCUUGAUUUUUAAAGAAUGGCAUUGAUUUCCACUGGAAGAAACAUUCAGUGAUACUGAAGUAAGAGCACAAGUCCAAAAAGCUGGUGAACCUGCAUAGCUGGACAGAAGACGACAGCUAAUAAGCAUGUUAAAACAGUAACUAAUGAAUUCACAGGAAGUAUUUAGCUGACAAAAUGAGCCAGGCUACACGAUUUUAAACACCUGUGAUAAACCACUGCAUUAGGCAGAAAAGUAUGCAGUUUGGGGUACCUUCAAUUCAGAAGGACCCCUGGAAAACUUAGGAACAUCUACAUGGCUUCCGUACUGAUAUAAUCAAUCUGGCUGGGCUCAGUAAUGAUACGAAACUCAAGAAAGGAGUAGCAGCAGUAAUUACGGGUCUGAACAAUGUGUCUUACUGUAAAAGUCUUACUGCACUGAUGAUGCCGCACCUGGAGUGCUGGAUCCAGAUGUGGAGUCCUCAGUACUACAGAUGUAGACCUGCUAGAGAGCAUCCAGGGAAGGGCACAAAAAUGAUCCAACACCUCUCCUAUGAGGACAGGCUGAGAGCUGGGGCUAUUCAUCCUGGAGAAGAGAAGGAUCUGAGGUGGCCGGAUAGAGGCUUUCAGUAUCCGAAGGGGAGCUACAGGAAAGAAGGAGACAGACUCUUUAUCAGGGUCUGUGGUGAUAGAACAAGGGGAAAUGCCUUCAAGCUCAGGGAGGGUAGAUUUAGGUUGUAUAUAAGGAAAAAAAAUCUGAUUUUUGCUGAGGCACUGAGACAGGUUACCUAGUGAUGUGGAUGAUGCCCCAUCCCUUGAGACUUAAAAGGCGAGGCUGGUUCAGGCCCAGGGCAACCUGAUCUAGCUGUGGUGUCCCUGGUCAUUGCAGGGGAGCUGGACUAGAGGGCCCUCAGAUGUCCCUUCCAGCUCUAAAAAUUCUAUAAUUCUAAAAUCAAUAAUCAGUGUAUUUUCUCCAAAAUAGAGUUAAGAGCCAACUCAAUUUACAGACUUGGAGUGCUAAAGAAUACUCCAAUUAGAGCUCCUGGUUAUCACAAAGCUUUGUAAUUCACCCCUGUGUUGUUAUUCAUUAACACGUGUGGCUAAAAAUGAGACACUAGGAAUAUGGUUCCUGGUAAUGAACAAUCUUUAUUAUCAAAAUAUGCACCUUUUUUUCAACUGGGAUUUGUUGGGCUUUAGUUUACUGCCAUCAGUAUUUAUUUUGCCUUCCUAUGGUACAUCACAUUCCUUGAGUGUUUAGGGUUUGCUAAUCAUGCAUGUGUUUAAAUGUUGUAAUAGUCACCUCUGGAUAUUCUACUUAGGGGAAAAGAACAAUCAAGUCUUAAACUUUCUCUCUAUUUUCUAUAAGUGAAGUUUAAAUAUCACCAAAACAAUUUUGUGGCUCUUCUCUGCUUCUUUGUCAAUUAUGAAGACAUUUAAAAACAGAUUCUAGAAGCAAAUGAAUUAUCCCCAUCCCAUUUUCACUGCUACUCUACAAGGAGGUUAAGUCUCUUCUCGCCCACAGAGUUUCACACCUUCCUAAUGAUAGCUUUAGUUCUUUCAGCCCACAGCAGCAGAUGGGGAAAUCAUGACGAAUGCUUGUUUCUUAAGAUUUUUAAACCUUAUAAGUGUGCCAGGAUAGAGUUUUUCAGAACCUGGCUUAUUCUUCCACCUGUGAAACUGAAUUUGGCUGUAUGUCAAUUUAAAGAGUCAUCUGAAUCUGACAUCUAAUCUAGUCUUCCCAUUGACUGAUUUUCUCUGUCAUCAUUUGGAAUUGUCAUCAUGUGGAAUUUCUUCCAUGAUCACUAGUCUUCAGUGAACUUCUGGCACUGAUACUAAUUUACGUCUUGAAGAUGGAACUACAUAUUUGUUCUGGGUCUUGCUGGGAUGGAGUUAACUUUCUUUACAGCAGCUUGUACGGAGCCAUGUGUUGGAUUUGUGGUUAACAUUGUUGAUCACAGACUAAUAUUUUGGCUAUUGCUGAACAGUGUCUGCACAUUGUUAAGGCUUUCUCUAUAGCUCACACUGCACCAACCCGGCAAGUAGAAUGUGGGUAGGCAAGAGGCUGGGAGGGGACAGCGCCAAGACAGCUGACCAGAAUGGACCAAAGGGAUAUUCCAUACUGUAUAACUUCAUGAUCAGCAAUAAAAUCUGGAGUAAAUGAAAAAGUGUUGGAGGUCUGUUGUCUUCUGAUGUGGUUGGUGCUUGGAGACUGGCUGGCCAUUGGCUUGACUGUGGGAGGUGGUGAGUUACUGCCUGUGCAUCACUGGGAUUUUUUCCUCUUUCUUUCACCUAUUAAACUGUCUUUAAUCUCAACUCAACAAUAUUCUUAUUUUUAUACUUCCUAUUCCCUUCUCUAGCCCUCUGAGAUAUGGGGAUUAAGUAAGAGUUUGUGCGGUUGCUUGUGGGGGAUGUGUGGUCAAUCCACAACGAUAUUAGACAUAAUACCUUCUGUGAUUAAAAAAUAUUGGCCUGUGCAUAUAUUUUUAAAUGCUUUUUAUAAGCAACUGCUGGCUGUGUGAAACUCUAAACACAUGUCCCAAAUUGAG
rnacentral:lncRNA from 1 species